rnacentral:rRNA from 1 species
UGGGGAAUAUUGCACAAUGGGCGAAAGCCUGAUGCAGCGACGCCGCGUGAGGGAUGACGGCCUUCGGGUUGUAAACCUCUUUCAGUAGGGACGAAGCGCAAGUGACGGUACCUGCAGAAGAAGCACCGGCUAACUACGUGCCAGCAGCCGCGGUAAUACGUAGGGUGCGAGUGUUGUCCGGAAUUACUGGGCGUAAAGAGCUCGUAGGCGGUUUGUCACGUCGUCUGUGAAAUCCUAGGGCUUAACCCUGGACGUGCAGGCGAUACGGGCUGACUUGAGUACUACAGGGGAGACUGGAAUUUCUGGUGUAGCGGUGGAAUGCACAGAUAUCAGGAAGAACACCGAUGGCGAAGGCAGGUCUCUGGGUAGUAACUGACGCUGAGGAGCGAAAGCAUGGGUAGCGAACAGG